rnacentral:rRNA from 1 species
ACGCUGGCGGCGUGCCUAAUACAUGCAAGUCGAGCGGACCAAAGGGAGCUUGCUCCUGGAGGUUAGCGGCGAACGGGUGAGUAACACGUGGGCAACCUGCCUGUAAGACUGGGAUAACAUCGAGAAAUCGGUGCUAAUACCGGAUAAUAAAAAGAACUGCAUGGUUCUUUUUGAAAGAUGGUUUCGGCUAUCACUUACAGAUGGGCCCGCGGCGCAUUAGCUAGUUGGUGAGGUAACGGCUCACCAAGGCAACGAUGCGUAGCCGACCUGAGAGGGUGAUCGGCCACACUGGGACUGAGACACGGCCCAGACUCCUACGGGAGGCAGCAGUAGGGAAUCUUCCGCAAUGGACGAAAGUCUGACGGAGCAACGCCGCGUGAGUGAUGAAGGUUUUCGGAUCGUAAAACUCUGUUGUUAGGGAAGAACAAGUGCCGUUCGAAAGGGCGGCACCUUGACGGUACCUAACGAGAAAGCCACGGCUAACUACGUG